GGCCACAUCAAGUUGUAACACCGGUUCCCAUCCGAUCACCAAAGUUAAGGAACGUCAAGCCUGGUCAGUACCUAGAUGUGUGACCGCUUGAGAAUACCAGGUGCUGGAA